CCCAAAUCCAUCUGCUAUAAAUAUCAGUCCAAAACCCUAGAUUUUAGGAGAGUUGUCCCAUCUUCCAAAUCCUCCUAGUCACCGCCGCCAGUUCUCUCCACCUCGGGAUUGCUCCCGAUCCAAACCCACCAAUCACCCCUAGUCUCCAGAUCCGCCACCACCAACCUUCUCCUAGUCUUCCAAGCUAGCCACCUGGUGCUCAGCGCCGCCUCCCUCUUCUGCUCGAGCAUGUUUGCUCGAGGAGGAGCCCCCGCUCACUCCUGGAUCGACCCAACCGCCGCGCGGGUGACCCGCCGACGACCAUCCCGGCCAGCCAGGCCACCAGAGGGCCACCUCACCCUCGACCACCGCCGCCCGUCUUCGUCGCCACCACAGGAGCAUGCCCUGCCAUGGCCACCUCGUUUGGGAGCAAGCUCGCCGACGUCCUCCUCUUCCUAGCGCCGCCCCAUCCCCGUGAGCCUGUUGUGCGCCUGCCCGAGGCCCCGAGCAGGAGAGCUCGGCCUCGCCUCCUCGCGUCGUCGCUCUGCUCCGAGCGUAGACCGCGCAGCCGACACUGCCCAUCCAUGGACAGCCACCCAGCAGCUCCACAUCGACCUCUCCGCCCGGACCCGCUUCCUCUGCUUCGCCCCAAGCCGGCGUCCGUCGUCCUCGGUUUCACGCUGCCACCGCCGAGGAGAAGCCCGCGCCUACAGCCCAUCCAGCUCGCUGCUCAUCCCCGUUGACCGCAUCGCCCGCCGGAGUCGCCGCCUCGCCAAGCUCCGUCGUCAUGCCGGUGGUCUUCGCGUCGAGGAGCCGGAGUUCAGCCCCCUGCCCCGCAUCACGCCCCGGCAUCUUCAGCCUCGUGCCAUCCAAGCCGGCGUCGUUGCUUGCCUCCUCUGGUGCGCCGCUCCGCCUCAAGACGUGUCCUCGCUGGACCUCACGAGCGCCGCCGCACCUCGACGCCAGCACGUCUCCACGGCCGAAUUUCGACCGGUCGAAACCCUCCCUUGCUUCACCCGAUCCUGCGCCCGCGAAGUCUCUGCAUCGAGCGCCAAGUUCUGCCUCCUGCUCCGCUUCGCCCCUGUCUAAAGCCGAUUGAAUUGGUGCCAGCGCGUUGACCGCGUCGCUGCCCAAGCCGCCUGCCGUUUUCGCCGAGGCCGCGUCAGGCCCAGCCAACGCCCGCCGGCCUGCCUCUUCCACCGUCUGGGCUUGGCCCAUGGUGAGAGAGCCGCAGUGCCCCUUUGUCUUUCUUUUGUUGGGCCUGCUCCAGUUUUAGUUUUGGCCCGUGUAGGUUUUUUUCCCAGUUCUGCGAAUUUAGUAUUUAACCAGGGAU